UCUCAGUAAACGAAGUUGGUGUGGCACGAUCUGGACUAAUCUCCUCACUCAGGUCUAACGAAGAAACUACCUUGUGCAAAGAUGUUUCAACAUUACGUUCACGAGGUGUGGUUGAAGGUAUAUGGAGACAAGAUAUUAAAUAAGAGAUAAAUAACUCUUGCUGCAAUUUAAGAGAGCCGGGCAUUGCUUGAAGUAAAGUAGUCAUUACAAGCAAGGAAUUUGUCAGCAAAGCUGUAUGAUCACUACGAAUGAGCUGUAGAAGUGAUUUGCAUAAAGUAUCAGUGAUGAGUACUCGAAGC